rnacentral:rRNA from 1 species
GUGCCAGCAGCCGCGGUAAUACGGAGGGUGCAAGCGUUAAUCGGAAUUACUGGGCGUAAAGGGCGCGUAGGUGGCUUGAUAAGCCGGAUGUGAAAGCCCCGGGCUCAACCUGGGAACGGCAUCCGGAACUGUCAGGCUAGAGUGCAGGAGAGGAAGGUAGAAUUCCCGGUGUAGCGGUGAAAUGCGUAGAGAUCGGGAGGAAUACCAGAGGCGAAGGCGGCCUUCUGGACUGACACUGACACUGAGGUGCGAAAGCGUGGGUAGCAAACAGGAUUAGAUACCCUGGUAGUCCACGCCGUAAACGAUGUCCACCAGCCGUUGGGUGCCUAACGGACUUUGUGGCGAACUUAACGCGAUAAGUCUACCGCCUGGGGAGUACGGCCGCAAGGUUAAAACUCAAAUGAAUUGACGGGGGCCCGCACAAGCGGUGGAGCAUGUGGUUUAAUUCGAUGCAACGCGCAGAACCUUACC